UGGCAUAGUGGUUAAGAGUUUGGCUGCUAACCAUAAAGUUGGCAGUUCAAAUCUGCC
rnacentral:tRNA from 1 species